GCACUUGGGACUAGCUCCGAGAGUCUCUCAGCUCUGGCACGCUCAUGGACAGGCAGAAAUCGGAGAUAUGUUUAGUAUCACAUCACUGUUCGUAGUGUUAACAUCGUGUCUAGAAAACGUGGAACUUUUGGACUACAUGUUGAUGGUGAACAUUUAUCGAAAGAGAAAGGGUUAUUAAUGAAAUGUUUCACGAAUUAUCCUUUGAAAAAAAAACAAACUUUUUUAACAUUUUUAUUUCCUACUUCAAAAGUGGAUAGGAUAAUGAAAUAAAGGAUUAUAAAUUAGUAAUUGUGUUAUGCAAGAACAGUUUCUUAUUUAUCUUUUAAAAGAUUCUUUCCAUGAAAUUUCCUUUAAAGACAAUUCCUUAGAAGACAAUUAAGUGAAAGGUUGCUGGAAAGCGGUUCAAUAGUGAACAUAUUUGUGAAUGAGAUUCAGUUGAGUACAGGGAAUGAAAUUUAACUUCCUAUGAAGUUGCUUCAUACUGUGCCGUGUAGUUGAAAAUAUCCAAUUCCUUGUUUUAAACAGAAAUAAUUCCAGACAUCAGUUAGUGGUUUUAGAUGAAACUUUACACUCGGAACGUGUGAUUUCUUCACUCAAGUGUUGUAACUUGGCAAAUAUACAUUCAUUUCUUCUCUUUUCUGCCCUCUUUUGCAGUUUUCACGUGUUUCAAAAAGACACAAUUUAUCUUGAAGUAUUUUUAGAAUAACAACUAAAAUUUUCUAAUCAACGCUGUUGGAUUUUAAUUUGAUAUUUAAAUUACAGCUUAAAAUAAUGUUGACAGUUUUCACGUUUUAGUGAAAGAUCUCAAAAAUAUCACACAUGAUUUUAUGCCAGAACAGCAAUUAAUUAAUUCUCCAAGAACCACAUCUCUAAAUACUUCUAAUGUGUUAAAAUUCGCUGUAAAAAAAAUUAGAACAAGUGGUAAUGCUGAUAAAUGGAUUUCUCCGUAGUAGUGAAAUACAGAGUCUGGUGUUGUUGAACUUUAUUGAAGUGAUUUAAUGAAAAAUUAAUUUUCCGACAAUACUGUCUACGGUAUCACUGAGUAUCGAUUAAAUUUCCAACACUUGUGCUACUUUUGAAGAAUUUCGCUGAUACCUAAAUCAACAAGAGAGCAAAAUAGAGUGAUUUUUCCACUAGUGGAACUAUGGAUUUAAAGUGUUUUAUAGAGUGAACUGUGAAGAGUUUACAAAGGACACGAGCUCUGUGGAGUAUUUAGUGGCAUAUUUUGGAAUAUAAUUCUACUAUUUAAAUCCUAUAUGGUGUGUUAUUUUAUGUUGUUGGAAAAAAUAGUUCCUGCAAACUGGAUUGGUUUACACUGCAUCGUAACCGAAUGUGACAUUAUAAAAAAUAAAUGGGUACAAUGAGGCCAAAUAAAUACGAUGUUACCACAGUUUACCGUCUAUGCGAAGAUUUUGUGCCUCCUGAUGGUGGUGAUGGGAGCAUUAUGUACAACUUUAGACACAACCUUGAUAUCGGGAUGCUCAGGCAAAGCCGUACAAAUGGACAGUGCCGGACGUGUUUUUGCUUCCGACCAGCGCCGUAAGUGUAUUAAUUACCUUUCGGAUUGCCAUUUGUGUAGUCAUAUUAAUGUUUAUUCGCGAAGCUCAAGGCAAUAUGCUCUUAACACUAUCAUUAAUCCUUCCACAAUGUAAAGUACUCUUUUGCUGUAUUCAUAUAAUAUACAAGGAGAAUGAAGUGGAAUAUUUUCAAGGAGGAAUUUCACUUUUUCUCAUUCUCACUUGAGAAGACUUUCUUGAAAAAUAAUGUUUAAAAAUCAUUAUUUUGUGUAGUUCGGAGUUUAGUUUAUUUUGAGUAAACAUAACUAGUUCGUUGGUCAGAAACUUAUAGACUGGUAUGUUUAAACAGUGAGACAAACCGUGACAGAUUUGUAUACUUAGUACCAAACAUAAUAUUGAAGCUAUGUAAAAUUUCGGUAAGGGUGUUAAAAAAAAUUGUAAUUCCGUUCCCUGGUGUUUUUCUAUCCAAUCAACUUAUUUUUUUUUCGGUUCUUUUGAUAAGCUUUAUUUUUCUAGGAUAUCACUAAUUUAUGUCUUUACCCGUUUACAGGUUUGGCUAAUCUUAAAUUUAUACAUAAUUACACAUUUAUUGAUUCAUUUAAUUAAUGAAUUUGUUUUGUAAGUACAUAAUUGUUUUAGCAUGGGAAAAAAUCUUACCUGACUUUACUAGAUUGAUGUAAAAUAUGCCGUUUCAUUAUGAAUAAUCACAUAAAGUAGCUCUAGGCAAGGUUUAGGGUCAUUCAGAUUCAAUUUUAUUUAUAUGGGUUCAGUAGAUUUUAGCCAAUUUUACAAUACCCCACAUCGAGAGUCUGACAUUCUCGAGUUGCAUUUCAUCUUAUUAUUUGUAUUGUAUACGUUAAUUGGAACUGGAGAUUAAGUGAUACUUUCGUAUCAUUUAGUGUAAUUCUUUCCACGAACUGUAAUAAUUCAUUCUCACAAAUUCCACAUUUCGGGGAAAAGAAGAAUGAAGAGAAUUUAUAAUCAAUUAUAGGGCUAAAUGAGGGUGGUCCUUUUUUGCCUGCAGAACAACAAAUCAGAAAAACUCUUGACAAGAUAUGAUUAUUUUUUGUAAAACUAAUAUUCUUAAAAAAAAAUUAACAUAUAAAGCACAGUUUGUUUAUUUCUGAUUUUCUCUUAAAAGUUGUCACGUUUCAUUUCUGCUUUUUUUCUUAAUUUUUGGUGAAUUGGCUUGCAUUUUUGUUUUGGCUCCUCGUAUUUUUUAAGAUUUCGUGCAAAGAAAGAGAAUGGGUGAAAAAAGACAAUCUCGAUGGUUCUUGCUAAUACUUUAGCCGCCUUCUAAUUAAAAUGUUCAUAAAGACGUUAGCAGACAUCCCCAAAGAAAAAAAAAAA